AUUAUUCAUAACGACUCUCGGCAACGGAUAUCUCGGCUCUCGCAUCGAUGAAGAACGUAGCGAACUGCGAUACUUGGUGUGAAUUGCAGAAUCCCGUGAACCAUCGAGUCUUUGAACGCAAGUUGCGCCCGAAGCCAUUUAUUUGGUGGAGGGCACGUUUGCCUGGGUGUC
rnacentral:rRNA from 1 species